rnacentral:rRNA from 1 species
UGGGGAAUAUUGCACAAUGGGCGAAAGCCUGAUGCAGCGACGCCGCGUGAGGGAUGAAGGCCUUCGGGUUGUAAACCUCUUUCAGCAGGGAAGAAGCGCAAGUGACGGUACCUGCAGAAGAAGCGCCGGCUAACUACGUGCCAGCAGCCGCGGUAAUACGUAGGGCGCAAGCGUUGUCCGGAAUUAUUGGGCGUAAAGAGCUCGUAGUCGGUUUGUCGCGUCUGGUGUGCAAACUCGAGGCUCAACCUCGAGCUUGCAUCGGGUACGGGCAGACUAGAGUGCGGUAGGGGAGACUGAAAUUCCUGGUGUAGCGGUGGAAUGCGCAGUUAUCAGGAGGCACACCGAUGGCGAAGGCAGGUCUCUGGGCCGCAACUGACGCUGAGGAGCGAAAGCAUGGGGAGCGAACA